rnacentral:rRNA from 1 species
ACGGAGGGAGCUAGCGUUGUUCGGAAUUACUGGGCGUAAAGCGCACGUAGGCGGCUUUGUAAGUCAGAGGUCAAAGCCUUGAGAACAAAGAAAGAACUGCCUUUGAGACUGCAUCGCUUGAAUCCAGGAGAGGUGAGUGGAAUUCCGAGUGUAGAGGUGAAAUUCGUAGAUAUUCGGAAGGACACCAUUGGCGAAGGCGGCUCACUGGACUGGUAUUGACGCUGAGGUGCGAAAACGUGGGGAGCAAACAG